UACGUAGGGGGCGAGCGUUGUCCGGAUUUAUUGGGCGUAAAGAGCUCGUAGGCGGUUUGGUAAGUCGGGUGUGAAAUCUCCACGCUCAACGUGGAGGGGCCACUCGAUACUGCCAUGACUCGAGUCCGGUAGAGGAGUGUGGAAUUCCCGGUGUAGCGGUGAAAUUCGUAGAUAUCGGGAGGAACACCGGUGGCGAAGGCGGCGGCCUGGGUUGACACUGACGCUGAGGCGCGAAAGCGUGGGGAGCAAACAGG
rnacentral:rRNA from 1 species